GACGAACGCUGGCGGCGUGCUUAACACAUGCAAGUCGAACGGUGAAGGGACCAGCUUGCUGGUUCUGGAUGAGUGGCGAACGGGUGAGUAACACGUGAGUAACCUGCCCCCUUCUUCUGGAUAACCGCAUGAAAGUGUGGCUAAUACGGGAUAUUCUGGGUCUGUCGCAUGGCGGGCCCGGGAAAGAUAUUGCUUCGGUGGGGGAUGGGCUCGCGGCCUAUCAGCUUGUUGGUGGGGUGAUGGCCUACCAAGGCGGUGACGGGUAGCCGGCCUGAGAGGGUGGACGGUCACACUGGGACUGAGACACGGCCCAGACUCCUACGGGAGGCAGCAGUGGGGAAUAUUGCACAAUGGGCGCAAGCCUGAUGCAGCGACGCCGCGUGAGGGAUGGAGGCCUUCGGGUUGUAAACCUCUUUCGCCAGUGAAGCAGGCCUGCUCCUCGUGGGUGGGUUGACGGUAGCUGGAUAAGAAGCGCCGGCUAACUACGUG
rnacentral:rRNA from 1 species